GCCGAACGUUCGUGAGUUGAACGGGGAGGUAGCCAUACUGCCGGCCAUUCGACUGCCGAACGAGGAGGCAAAAAAAAUGCAGAACGUUCAGUUUUGUGUCCUCUAUUACAGGGAAUGAAGGAGACGUGUCUGGUGACAGGAAUCCAGGAAAGCAGUCAUUACAGGCAGGGUCCAGCGGAAAAAGGAGGUGCGGUACGGCAGGCUUGGCAGCAGGUCCUGGGAAUGCUGGAAGUGC